GACGAACCGUGCGAACGUUGUUCGGAUUCACUGGGCUUAAAGGGCGCGUAGGCGGGCGGUCAAGUCAGGGGUGAAAUCUUUCGGCUCAACCGGAAAAGUGCCUUUGAUACUGGCCGUCUCGAGGGAGGUAGGGGCAUGCGGAACUUCCGGUGGAGCGGUGAAAUGCGUAGAUAUCGGAAGGAACGCCGGUGGCGAAAGCGGCGUGCUGGACCUCUUCUGACGCUGAGGCGCGAAAGCCAGGGGAGCAAACGGGG
rnacentral:rRNA from 1 species